AGGACUAGACCCGUGGCUGUUUGGGGAGGCAGGUGCAUGUCCACUUCUGGUGAGAGGGAUACGGCACAGAUGUUACCUUAGCACUUGCUAGCAGCUGAUGACCGAGGCAGAUCUGGGGACAUCAAGAUGAACAACAUGUGACCCUGCUUUUAAGGUAGACAAUAAAUUGGGACGUUAGGAGGCAGCGGUUACAGCCUCAUCUGACAGACAAGAAAACAGAAGUGGCCCAGUCAUGUAGCUGGAGAGCUAAGAUUUGCCCUGUGGUCUGUCUGACUCCAAAGCCCAUCCUCUCUUCUCCACGCCGUAUUGUCUUCCAAAUCAAAAGUCUGUGACUCCCCGCUAGGCAUUGUUCUAUUGCUCCAAACUGUUCUCUGUACAAAAGAU